rnacentral:lncRNA from 1 species
GGGACAGCAAAUCCCGUCCAAAACGGGAUCGGGUCGGAUCUCUUUCCCGACACAGCCGGUGUCCUGCUUGGUUACUGCAAGGAAGGAGAAGAGGAAGGCGGCGCUGCGCAGUGGGUCCCGCGCGUCAUUGGAAGAAGAACAGGGACCCGGCUGUCAGCGAGUCAAGGGAGAGGGGCGCGCCCACUGCUCGGCUUGGGCCGCAACGAGCUGGGCCGGGGCGGGAAGGGAAGCCAGGGGGCUGGCUUGCCGCUAGCGGGCCGAGUGCGAGGGUGAGGGGGGGGGUUCGGCUGGGGUUUUUCUUUUUUUUCUUUUCUGUUUUCUUUUCCAAACACCUUUUCCAAAAAAAAUCUUGAAUGCAAAUAAAUUCAAGCCAGAGGCAAACAAUACAAAAUAACAUAUUCUUCAGCAUGAAUGCAUAAACAAGUUCCUAAACUUAUAAUGAAUUUUAAUUUUUACAAAAAUAUUUUAUUUACUAGAUUAAAUGCCCACAAAAAUUGCUUAAAUAAUUCUCAUGAAAUCCUAUCAAUUCAAAAGCAAAUUUUUUUUGGGUGUUACAAAUUCUACCCCCCUUAAAAGAAUCUCGUCCUCGAGAUUGAGCAGUGCAUAAACAAACAGUUGUGGAUAUGAUUCUCUCCAAUCAUCCUCUCUUUCCCAAGUUGCUUCUGCCUCUAAAAACCGAUUCCAUUGCACUAGCAAAUUCAUGUCUCUAGUCAAGUAACAUACCUGGUAACUUAUCUGAAAAUUUAUUCCCUACACAGUCCUGAAGGUCAACACCAUCAUCCAGCUGAUUCACUGUAGCUGUGGGUGGAGCCUGCAAUGCUACAUCCACACUGAUUCUCUCUCCCUUGGGUGUUGUCACAACUACUACUUUCUCUUUGCACUUAAUUUCCGUAGCAUAUUUCUUCAUCCAAUCCAAACCCAAUAUCACAUCUAUGCCUGAGGUUCUCAUAACCAUGGGACUAACCGGGAAAUCUACCCCCCUUAAAGAAAGACUUGCUGAGGGGCAACAAUAUGAAACUGGUAUAGUCCCUCCCGGUGAUUUUACUAGCAUAUGGGUUUUCAUGGCAACUAGUGGAAUGCUAUGAACUCUAACAAAUGCUUGUGAUAUGAAUGUAUGCGAAGCUCCAGAAUCAAAUAAAACUGUAGCGGGAAUAGAGUUGAUACUGAACGUACCCAUCAUAAUCUCCAGUCCCUCUUGUACUGUCUCUGCAGCCACAUGGUUCAUCUUUGCUCCAUGAGAAUUAGACUUUUGACCGUUGUUCUGCUGGUUGAAUCUCUCCGGGCAAUUAUAUGACAUAUGACCUUCUUUUCCACAGCGAAAACACCUAGUAGGGGUAUUGGGAGCACUUCUCUUCAUAGAGGUGGCAUUUGAAUUUCCUGAGCGGUGAAUCUGCUGACCACUCUGCUGUUGAUUAAGAUUACGCUGAGGUUGUUGGUUGCGAUCCCAUUGACCAACCGGUCCCUGGUACCUCUGUUGAUCGCCCUGCUGAGAAUUGAAACGUUGGCGGUUGUUGCCUCCGGAACCUUGUGCUAGCAUCCUCCUCUUCUUAUCUUGACCUUUACGCAUGUUAUCAAGCACAAUAGCACGAUUCACCAGAGUCUGGAAGGUAGGGUAGGUAUUUUCAGCCAGUUGCAAUCUGAGUUCAUAGUAAAGACCUUUCAUGAAGAGACGUUGUUUGUCAGCAUCCUCUCUGACUUCGUUUGGGGCAUAGCGGGCCAACUGCUCAAACAUGUCAUGAUACUCAGCCACAGUCAUAGAACCCAUCCGUAGAGAUCUGAAUUCUUCUUGCUUGAGCUCCAUCAUUCCCUCAUUGAUGUGUUGUGCUCUAAAGUCUCUGCAAAAUUCCGUCCAAGUGACAGGAGGAGCAUUGUUGGGACGAGCAGCUUGAUAUGACUCCCACCAAGUUUGAGCUGCUCCCUGAAGUUGUCCGGAAGCAUACACCACCUUUUCCAUAUCAUUGCAUUGUGCUAUGUUCAGUCGCCUCUCCACAGCACGUAACCAAUCAUCCGCCUCCAUAGGAUCAGCUGAGUGUGUAAACACCAGAGGUCUUCCCUUCAUAAAUUCACCACGCUUAUCUCUCACAUGAACUGGUGGUGGUGGUGGUGGUGGUGGUGGUGGUGGUGGAGGUUGCUGCUGUAGGUGCUACAUGAAGACAUGCAUCAUCUCAUUCUGAGUUUGCAUGAGCUCUUCUACAGUAAUUGGAUUGUUGGCACCCAUGCCACGGCCUCUGCCUCUGCCUCUUCCUCUUGCUGCCAUCUGCAUUCCGAGGUAUAUAAACACAUCUCAGUAAUAUCCAACAUGAUAAAUAGUAGAGAUAGUCGAAUCUGAAUUUUUCUGGGCGACAUCCAACAUUAGCAGUUCAGAAAAUCAGUCAUAUCUCGAGUUCUAGAAUUCAAAAGGAUACAUUCUGCAUACCGUUGGAAAGAUAAAUAAAUUAUCUACAACUUUUAUUUUGACCAUAUUAACAGAUUCUGUUAUUAGGUUAGUCAAAACUGGGCAUAACCAUAACUGUUCCAGAAUUCUAGACUGCGCAGAAACCUCAACUUUGAACAACCAUAACUCCCAGAUCAUAACAGAUAAUAAGGUCAUUCUUGUGGCAUUGGAAAGAUAUGAAGGUCUACUUGUUCCUAGAAAACUUUGAUGAACAUUGCACGAGCAGAUUUUGAUAUGUACCAGAUUUAUUGCAGACUGCUCCAGAAAAUAGCAAAGGGCAGAAACAGGAUUUUACCCAAACCCAACUAUUUAGUUCAUUAAUCCUUAUGCCUUAGGCCUAUAAACUAAAUGAAAUUGUAGAGAAACUCCACAAGAUCAUUACACUCAUUACAAAGAUUCAAAUCAAGCAUAAGCAUAAUAACAAACCAAACCAUGCAUCAAAGGUUCACACUUCAAGCAUUAACUCAACUUGCGGUACUAUCGUUCUCUUCCUAUUAAGGGUAAAGAUCCUAAAUCUCCUAUUUCAAAAGACACAAGAAGAUGAUAAGGGAAGGUUCUAAAAGCAUACCAACUCAAGGGGUGAAGGUGAGAACAAGGACUUUUAAAAUAAGCAACAAGGUAGAGACAAAUAGCAAGGAUAGAGAUAUUGUAUAGAGGAAAAUACCAAGGUUUAUAGAGCAAGGGUGUUAUAACAAUUUCAAAACCUUAAGAUGGCCAAUUUCUAACUAGGCUUGCGUCCUACAGUCAACAAAGCUUUGAUACCAAUUUGUCACACCCAUAUUUUAAGAACAAAAUAGGAUGCAUAAAAGACUCAUAUGUGCCCCAGAAACAGUCGCACACAUAAGUAGACAAAUCUCAAAUGUACCAUUGCAGUGUUUAUUACAUAGUGGAAUAUAACAUAUCACAUAGUCUCAUACAAAGAUGAUAGCAUAAAAUAAACAACGCUCUCGACGGAAGCUCCACACAGGGACACUGUUGACUGGUUGACACCAAACCUAAUACUCAUAGCGAUAGUCCUCAUUCCAAUCAUCAUCAUUAGCAUAACCUGGGGUGUUGGGAAAUUGCAAGAGUGAGCACAUAUCAUACUCAACAAGUAUAACCAGGGGUUCAUGAGGCUCAAAUAGCUGACACUGGUUUGACUGCAUUUAGCUUUUAAUAGUAGAUAGCAUGUUCAUAAUUGAAUAGCAAAUGUCAAGAUAGCAUAAAUAAUCCAUUAAUCACAUGAUCAAGUGUAAGCAUAAUUAAUUCUUAGCAUAAACGAUAAUCAAAUGAACACAACAACUUAAUAAGCUCAUUGUCGUUGCAGCAAGAACCCCCAAGGCCGCUCAUAACCGUGAGCACGGCUAGUAUACCAGUUUUAACACUCUGCAGAGAUUGUACAUCUUUACCCAUGAGUCAUGAUUUACCCUUUCGCCCGAGGUAGCUAAUCUCUUAACCCCCUUCCUGGGGAGGUCAGCAGGGAUCACUAUGAAGCCUUUCAAAAGUUCGUCUAACAUGUUAGGGCCGUAAGGUUUCCUUUGUGCGCUGAUAUAGAUACCCUCCUUCCGAAUGGCACAAUGACGCGCAACCUAUACACAUAAGGACAGGGGCUCGCACUAUACCCAAAACGGUUCAGCCCCUCCGCCCUUUCGGGUAACCUCUAACAAGCUAGAAAAGGUCUUCAUACUGAGCUAAAGCCAGAGCCAUUAUAGCCCUCAUGGUUGCACUGUUGUCCAGGUGAUCACUUACAGACAAGAUCUCAUAUAGUUAUUUGUCAUCUUUUAACGUUCAUUGCAUAGCUAUUAAUCAUCUUACAAGAUCAUGGAUUGAAUCAAGCACUAGCACAUCUACACCAAAUGCAUAUCAAGUAGGUAACAAGGAAUCCAGGUAACAAUCAUCUAUGAUUUUGCUAAGGUCGACAAGGUGAUAGCAUGCAUAUGAUAUAUAUGUAGUUAUAAGUGAAUAGGUAACAAGGAUGAUCCCAAGUUAUACUUGUCUUGCUCAAAGCUCUCCUGAGCCUGCUGGUCUUCAAAAGUUUGGUCUUGAUCACCAACGUACGGCUCACCGUCUAUUCCCAAACAUCAAUCAACAACACGUAAUCCAAUGGAGACAAUCAUACACAAAGCAAAAAAGAUAUAAUUAGAACAUUACACCAACAGUGAGAAAUCAAAGAUAAAAGUUUAUGAAAGUAUUCUACGCAGCGCUACGAUCACACAAACGUAAAGUUCACGAAAAUCGGAAUUAAAACGUGGAAGAUAUGAAUUUUCUAAGGUUUCCUAUAGAGAAAUAAUUAAUUAAAUGCUACUGCAGAAAUAAAAAGUUUCAAAACAGUAAACUAAUAUUUCUAACCUGUAGAGCACGUAAAUAUGGAUCUAACGAAAUUUGAAUGGACAAAAACAGAGUUAAAAUGAGCAUUUUAUAAGCAAAACAAAAUCAGUGGCAUUUCUGUAAAUACUGGAAAACGUAUUUGGAUCUCAGCCGACAGGAAAAUACGUUUUCUUAAUUUAGAAAGCGUAAAACUGAGUAGGCGCCUUGGACUGUGGGUUAAAACUCAAAUUCUCCAGGGGUUCUUAAACAAAAUACCCCCCUGAAGGGGUAUCUUCUAAUCCUGGUCAUCCACGAUCGAUCCGACGGCCGAGAUCAAGCAGGGGGAAAACCAAACUGCGGCCCGGCCGUCUUCCUGUGCUCCGGCGCGGCGGCGCCAUUGGCCAGAGGGCCUGAGCUCGCCGGAGCUUGCUGUCCGGCCGAUUCAGAGCACCAUUCUUUGAAAGAAAAGCACCGGAAAAACGAGAGGCUUACCACGGACUCGUCUAGGAGAUUGUUUUGGCCCGAGGGAAAACAGGGAGCGCAUGUCACGAUGGGGGAAAAAGCUCGGCUCCGGGGAGAUUCCGAAACACGCAGUCGAAGGCGGCUAGGGCUCGGUUUCGCGACUUAGAUGCAAAAACACGACGCGGGGCAUCGCAGGGUGCUUUAUAGGGCCUCGGGGACAGCAAAUCCUGUCCAAAACGGGAUCGGGUCGGAUCUCUUUCCUGACGAAGCCGGUGUCCUGCUUGGUUACUGCAAGGAAGGAGAAGAGGAAGGCGGCGCUGCGCAGUGGGUCCUGCGUGUCAUUGGAAGAAGAACAGGGACCCGGCUGUCAGCGAGUCUAGGGAGAGGGGCGCGCCCACUGCUCGGCUUGGGCCGCAACGAGCUGGGCCGGGGCGGGAAGGGAAGCCAGGGGGCUGGCUGGCCGCUAGCGGGCCGAGUGCGAGGGUGAUGGGGGGGGGGGGUUCGGCUGGGGUUUUCUUUUCUGUUUUCUUUUCCAAACACCUUUUCCAAAAAAAAUCUUGAAUGCAAAUAAAUUCAAGCCAGAGGCAAACAAUACAAAAUAACAUAUUCUUCAGCAUGAAUGCAUAAACAAGUUCCUAAACUUAUAAUGAAUUUUAAUUUUUACAAAAAUAUUUUAUUUACUAGAUUAAAUGCCCACAAAAAUUGCUUAAAUAAUUCUC